UAAUAUCGGACCGAUAAUUAUCGUGCAUCCCUACUUAUUACCCAUAGGGGAUGAAGAGGAGUAAGUAAAUAAAGAGGCCGGUGCUCCAGGGUCUGGUUCUGCUGUGCGUUUUUGUGAUGUAAUGGUAAAACAUUUCAGAAUUCCUCCACGGGAGGCCAUUGUACAUCACUCAACCUGCGAAAUACACACACUUAGUACAUAGAAUGCGGGCACAGCUGUAGCUACAUGUGUGUAUUUCGCGGGUUUCUAAAUGUUUUGUGCGUGUGUGUUUAUCAUGGUGUUUAUGUUGACAAGGAGGUUUAAUAACUGUGUGCUACACAAAACGUGCAGUCGGUUUCAUUUUCAUCGCCGUUUGUAGUAGAGUUAGCAGGGUAUUUUUAUUUUAACUCUCGUCCCAAAAUUAUUUGUUAUCCUCCUUGACACCAUUUUUUUCGACGACGGGACGUCCUUAAGCUUGAGCCCUGCCAUGCACCAUCACCCCCACCUACACAGCAGCCAGACCCACUGUCUUGGAAGACAGACAAAGACCAUGGCACUGCUCCCCCUGUCUUUACAUUUAUAAUGAAUAGUUGGUUGAGAAAGUUCUGAUAUUGUCAGGGUUCGUACGGUCAUUUAAAAACCUGGAAAAGUCAUGGAAUGCAAUAUGCAGCUCUGCACAGCGGACUUGUAACACUAGCAGCAGUGGAGAUGGAGCAUCAGAACCUGGAGAAUACAGCAACAACAACAAGGAUCCAUUUGAAGAUAGCUGCUGGGCCUAGCAGCAAGAACCUCCAUCUGUGCCUGCACCCAGUUCAAGAUCUACCGUGGCUCAAGGGCCUACACCAGAGCCAUCACCACCAAGGACCAGAGGACCAGCAUCACUACAGCAGCCUCCACCUCCAUCUGUGCCUGCCACAAGAUUAAGAUACACCUCGGUACAAAAGCCUCCACCACAGCCAUCACGAUCAACCCAGCCAGCAAAGAAGUCUCGCCUAGCACACCUCCCUCCCGCCGACACAGCCACCAGCAGCCCAUGCACCAUCACCCCCACCUACACAGCAGCCAGACCCACUGUCUUGGAAGAAAGACAAAGACCAUGGCACUGCUCCCCCUGUCUUUACAUUUAUAAUGAAUAGUUGGUUGAGAAAGUUCUGAUAUUGUCAGGGUUUGUACGGUCAUUAAAAACCUGGAAAAGUCAUGGAAUGCAAUAUUUUUCCCAAAGUUUUGGAAAAGUCAUGGAAAUAGAACUAAAGUUGCAUCAAAUAUAAUUUAUAUGUUAUCUAAUCGCCGAAAUAGUAAUACUAUAAUGACAAUAAAUACUGUAUCUUAUAAUGAAAUGUAAAAUGGCAACUGUGGCAGUAUUUUGCUGGUGAGAGAUGUUUACAAUCAUGCCCUCUAGUCUACAGGAGCUACUAUUUGAUAUAAAGAUGCCAGGGAAGUGCAGUUUCAACACUGUAUGGCUUCUAAAGAAUAAGUAAUUGUGGUUAUCAAAAGACAUUGACCCAAGACGUGCUAAAUGCAAACUGUGUUGUAACAUAUUCAAUAUUUCGAAUAUGAAAGAGUCAUUUCUUUGGUCAUGGAAAAGUCAUUUAAAAUCAUUGGUGAAAAAGUGUAUGAACCCUGUAUUGUAAAUAUUGAGAUUUUACAGUUUCUUAUGUUAACAUAAAUAGUUGGUUGAAAAAAAAA